rnacentral:rRNA from 1 species
GCUUGCUCUCGGGUGACGAGCGGCGGACGGAUGAGUAAUGUCUGGGAAACUGCCUGAUGGAGGGGGAUAACUACUGGAAACGGUGGCUAAUACCGCAUAAUGUUGCAAGACCAAAGUGGGGGACCUUCGGGCCUCAUGCCAUCAGAUGUGCCCAGAUGGGAUUAGCUAGUAGGUGGGGUAACGGCUCACCUAGGCGACGAUCCCUAGCUGGUCUGAGAGGAUGACCAGCCACACUGGAACUGAGACACGGUCCAGACUCCUACGGGAGGCAGCAGGGGGGAAUAUUGCACAAUGGGCGCAAGCCUGAUGCAGCCAUGCCGCGUGUGUGAAGAAGGCCUUCGGGUUGUAAAGCACUUUCAGCGGGGAGGAAGGCGUUAAGGUUAAUAACU